rnacentral:rRNA from 1 species
GGUUAAGUUAACAAGGGCGCAUGGUGAAUGCCUUGGCACUAGGAGCCGAUGAAGGACGGGACUAACACCGAUAUGCUUCGGGGAGCUGUACGUAAGCUAUGAUCCGGAGAUUUCCGAAUGGGGCAACCCAGCAGUUUUAAUCAACUGUUACCACUAGAUGAAUUCAUAGUCUAGUUGGAGGUAAACGCUGUGAACUGAAACAUCUCAUUAGCAGCAGGAAUAUAAAGAAAUUUCGAUUCCCUAAGUAGCGGCGAGCGAACGGGGAACAGCCCAAACCAAAGUGCUUGCACUUUGGGGUUGUAGGACUGAACAUUUGAGUUACCAAAGAACUUGAUAGUCGAAGGAUUUGGGAAAAUCCGCCAUAGAUGGUGAUAGCCCAGUAGAUUAAAUCAAAUUCUCUCAGUUCAGGAUCCUGAGUACGGCGGAACACGUGAAAUUCCGACGGAAUCCGGGAGGACCAUCUCCCAAGGCUAAAUACUACCUAGUGACCGAUAGUGAACCAGUACCGUGAGGGAAAGGGUGAAAAGCACCCCGGGAGGGGAGUGAAAUAGUUCCUGAAACCAUGUGCCUACAAUAAGUCAGAGCGCGUUAAUGCGUGAUGGCGUGCCUUUUGUAGAAUGAACCGGCGAGUUAUGAUCCCGUGCAAGGUUAAGACUAAAAAGUCGGAGCCGUAGCGAAAGCGAGUCUGAAAUGGGCGAUUUGAGUACGAGGUUAUAGACCCGAAACCAGGUGACCUAUCCAUGUCCAGGUUGAAGGUGCGGUAAAACGCACUGGAGGACCGAACCCGUGUAAGUUGAAAAUUGCUGGGAUGAGGUGUGGAUAGCGGUGAAAUUCCAAACGAACUUGGAGAUAGCUGGUUCUCUCCGAAAUAGCUUUAGGGCUAGCCUCGGAUUAAGGAUCAUGGAGGUAGAGCACUAUUUGGACUAGGGCCCCGUCUUGGGUUACUGAAUUCAGAUAAACUCCGAAUGCCAUUGAUUCAUGUCCGGGAGUCAGACGAUGAGUGAUAAGAUCCACCGUCGAAAGGGGAACAGCCCAGACCAUCAGUUAAGGUCCCUAAAUGUAUGCUAAGUGGAAAAGGAUGUGGAGUUGCAUAGACAACUAGGAUGUUGGCUCAGAAGCAGCCACCAUUUAAAGAGUGCGUAAUAGCUCACUAGUCGAGUGAUCCUGCGCCGAAAAUGUACCGGGGCUAAGCAUACUACCGAAACCAUGGAUGCGACCAUUAGGUCGCGUGAUAGGAGAGCGUUCUAAGGGCGGUGAAGCAAGAUCGUGAGGACUUGUGGAGCGCUUAGAAGUGAGAAUGCCGGUAUGAGUAGCGAAAGAUAGGUGAGAAUCCUAUCCACCGAAUGACUAAGGUUUCCUGGGGAAGGCUCGUCCUCCCAGGGUUAGUCGGGACCUAAGUCGAGGCCGAGAGGCGUAGACGAUGGAUAACAGGUUGAGAUUCCUGUACUAGUUAAGUGCGUUUGAGCAAUGGAGGGACGCAGGAGGCUAAGAUGUGCAUUCUGUUGGAUUAGAAUGUCCAAGCAGUAAGUCUUGUGGAGAGUCAAAUGCUUUUCACUUUAAGGACAAGCUGUGAUGGGGAGCGAAAUUUAGUAGCGAAGCGUCUGAUGUCACACUGCCGAGAAAAGCUUCUAGUGAGUACUUAACUACCCGUACCGCAAACCGACACAGGUAGUCGAGGAGAGAAUCCUAAGGUGAGCGAGUGAACUCUCGUUAAGGAACUCGGCAAAAUGACCCCGUAACUUCGGGAGAAGGGGUGCUGAUCGCAAGAUCAGCCGCAGUGAAUAGGCCCAGGCGACUGUUUAUCAAAAACACAGGUCUCUGCAAAAUCGUAAGAUGACGUAUAGGGGCUGACGCCUGCCCGGUGCUGGAAGGUUAAAAGGAUGGGUUAGCUUCGGCGAAGCUCAGAAUUGAAGCCCCAGUAAACGGCGGCCGUAACUAUAACGGUCCUAAGGUAGCGAAAUUCCUUGUCGGGUAAGUUCCGACCCGCACGAAAGGCGUAACGAUCUGGGCACUGUCUCAACGAGAGACUCGGUGAAAUUAUAUUGUCCGUGAAGAUGCGGACUACCCGCGACAGGACGGAAAGACCCCAUGGAGCUUUACUGUAGCUUGAUAUUGAGUGUUUGUACAGCUUGUACAGGAUAGGUAGGAGCCAUAGAAACCGGAACGCUAGUUUCGGUGGAGGCGUUGGUGGGAUACUACCCUCGCUGUAUGACCACUCUAACCCGCACCACUAAUCGUGGUGGGAGACAGUGUCAGGUGGGCAGUUUGACUGGGGCGGUCGCCUCCUAAAAAGUAACGGAGGCGCCCAAAGGUUCCCUCAGAAUGGUUGGAAAUCAUUCGCAGAGUGUAAAGGCACAAGGGAGCUUGACUGCGAGACAGACAGGUCGAGCAGGGACGAAAGUCGGGCUUAGUGAUCCGGUGGUACCGUAUGGAAGGGCCAUCGCUCAACGGAUAAAAGCUACCCUGGGGAUAACAGGCUUAUCUCCCCCAAGAGUCCACAUCGACGGGGAGGUUUGGCACCUCGAUGUCGGCUCAUCGCAUCCUGGGGCUGUAGUCGGUCCCAAGGGUUGGGCUGUUCGCCCAUUAAAGCGGUACGCGAGCUGGGUUCAGAACGUCGUGAGACAGUUCGGUCCCUAUCCGUCGCGGGCGUAGGAAAUUUGAGAGGACCUGUCCUUAGUACGAGAGGACCGGGAUGGACAUACCUCUGGUGUACCAGUUGUGCCGCCAGGCGCAUCGCUGGGUAGCUACGUAUGGAUGUGAUAAACGCUGAAAGCAUCUAAGUGUGAAACACACCUCGAGAUGAGAUUUCCCAUUCCUUUAUGGAAGUAAGACCCCUGAAAGAUGAUCAGGUAGAUAGGUUAGAAGUGGCAGUGCGGUGACGCAUGAAGCGGACUAAUACUAAUCGGUCGAGGACUUAACCAA